AUCUCUCCACAAUUUUAGCUUAAAGUUUUCUCAUUCUCUUGUUUCGUCAACUAAAUUUGUAUCGUCUGCAAAUUUUAUACACUGGAGAUAUCCUCUUUGAAUGCUCUUUUUAAGUUCAUCCAUUACUAUGUAUGUAAGUAUGUUGGAAAUAUUAUAUUUGUGAUAUGAUAUCUAUUAAACUAUAUGACACAAAAUGAGGUUUCUUUCAAAAUGUUUAAUAAGUCUACAUUUUGUAUGUGUAUAGGACAUUUUUAAAGAGGUCAUUGUCGGACGGCAACAUUCUUUGUGAAAGCAAUUCACCCAUUGAAGCCACUGAUGUUUGACAAAAUGAAUAUCACAAUCAGCCUUUGCCUGAUAAGACGCAAGGUCUUUCAGCGUCAACUCUAGAAAUCUCAACUUGUGAAAGUGAAUUAUCUUAUUCAAGGUAUACCCCCUCCAUGUCUAGUACACAGCUUUUUCCAGAAAUGCAGCGGAACCAAUAUUUGGAAAAUGAUCGUGUUUGUUUGGAUGGACAUCGAGAUUCAUUCCACUGCUCAAAUUUUUGGGACGUGGAUUGGCUUUCUUCAUUGGGAAAUUCAUGUGAAGAAGAAACUUAUGAAAGAUCUAUGCUCAUAAGCUCUCCUAUUACCGGUACGUCAUCAGGUAACGUUGUUAUUGGACUUAAAAUGGAGUCAGGUGCUUCUGCUAGUACAUCUGGGUCCAGCAUGAAGGUGAGGAGGAGCAUUGGAUCUUCAAUCAGGCUGUAGAGGUUUUCUCAGAUGGGAGUGAGCAAGCUGGAGUAUGAUCUGGUUUUGUGUUGUUUUUUCCUUGCUACGUUGGUUCCUCACCAACUCUUGAUGGUGUGCUAGUGUGCUUAUCGGUGCCAACCUCAUUCCUCGGCUCAAUUUAUCCAUCAAUUCAAUCUCAAACCUUCAAAUCCCAAACUCAACAGGAUGCAACCCUUGAGUACGUGAUGAUAUCUUCAUAUAUUGAUAUUGGAGCUUAUUAUUGAUAUCAAAACAAGCUAUAAUAUAUAUGUUUUUUUUAUAUUUAUAUUGUCGAUACUUUUAUUUUGUUUUAGAUACAAAAAUUUGAGUUCUUGAAUACAAAAAAUCAUUAGUGUUGUUGGAGGAUGUUUUAUAUAUUUUUGUAAAGAAUAUUUGGUUGACAAUUAUUACAGGGUACAUAUAUAUUAUUCUUGGUUUAUG